rnacentral:rRNA from 1 species
UACGGAGGGUGCAAGCGUUGCUCGGAAUUAUUGGGCGUAAAGGGUAGGUAGGUGGUCUCGUUUGUCAGGGGUGAAAGCCCUGGGCUUAACCCAGGAAGUGCCUUUGAAACGGCGAGACUUGAGUUCUGAAGAGGAUAGCGGAAUUCCCGGUGUAGCGGUGAAAUGCGUAGAUAUCGGGAAGAACACCAGAGGCGAAGGCGGCUAUCUGGCCAGACACUGACACUGAACUACGAAAGCGUGGGGAGCAAACAGG